GACAAUUAGAUGCUGGGAAGGGCAAGGCAAGACAGCAGAAAGACAGAAGAUGGAUACCUUGGGCAGCUAGCAGCCUUCAGGAUGGCAGAAUAAGGUUUCCAGUUGCCUGAGGGCCACGCGUGCUGCCCGUCCGCGCCCUGUAAUUUCCGGAGCCAGCGAGCGAGCCUUCUCCGGACAGGCCCGAGCUCUCCCCGGGAGCUUUCCCCCUCACGUGCACACAGAUCCGCCAUGCUGCUGCUACUAGAGACAAGGAGCUGCUUCACUGCCCAGCUCCCAUUCCUGCCCUCGCCCGGGCACUGCGGGAAGCAGGAGAGUACGCGCGUCUGUCAUUCCAGACUGUACCAUCAGAUGGCUGCCCAGGCCCUCUGAAUGCAGGAGACCCAGACAGCCUUCCCUCUGGCCUUGCCUACCUUUCAACUGCUCGGCUUCAGUCUUCAGAGCUCGUCAAACAUGAGGGGGUUUUAAAAUCAUAUAAAUGUGAUUUACGAAAAAAAUUAAAGACGGUUAUGGUGGUUUAUUUAGCUAGAGCUAGAAAUAGCCCUGGCAUUGUAUUUCAUGUUGUGGUUUUUGUAAGACAGGAUAGUAGCUGAUAGUUAACACUUGCCCAGUUUUGCCCACAUCAGCGUUGGUGGCAAGCCAGGCAAUGUCAUGUGUGUCAAUGACGUUCAUGUCCCACUUCCUGCGAUACUCAAUGUCAUGCAGCACAGUAUAUACCGUCUCCACUGGCACAGCUUGGAUGUCAGUGCAGCACUUGACCGUGUGCACUUGAGCAAUUUUGUAUUAGCUACUUUGAUAUUACACUUGCAAACUGCCAAAUGGAUAAUAUGUAGUUAGACUGUAAGCUCUUUGGGGCAGAGUCUGCUCUUUUGUUAUAUGUGUGUACAGUGCCUAGCACAAGCUGGGCCCCGAUCCUACCAUACAGGUAAAUCAUCAUUGUCACCCACAUAUUAAUAUCAUAUUGACAGAUUAUAUGCUUUGGUCUCUGUGGUAUCUUAUGUGAACUGUUGUUGUGGUAUAGUCCAAAUUAAAAACAAUCCAGAAUUA